AUACGGAGGGGGCUAGCGUUGUUCGGAAUUACUGGGCGUAAAGCGCGCGUAGGCGGAUUGAUCAGUCAGGGGUGAAAUCCCGAGGCUUAACCUCGGAACUGCCUUUGAUACUGUCAGUCUUGAGUUCGAGAGAGGUGAGUGGAAUUCCUAGCGUAGAGGUGAAAUUCGUAGAUAUUAGGAAGAACACCAGUGGCGAAGGCGGCUCACUGGCUCGAUACUGACGCUGAGGUGCGAAAGCGUGGGGAGCAAACAGGAUUAGAAACCCCAGUAGUCC
rnacentral:rRNA from 1 species